GACGUAGGGGGCAAGCGUUGUUCGGAAUUAUUGGGCGUAAAGCGCUCGUAGGCGGAAUUGGAAGUCCGUGUUGAAAGACCUCGGCUCAACUGAGGGACCGGCUCGGAUACUCUAAUUCUUGAGGCAAUCAGAGGAUGAUGGAAUUCCCGGUGUAGCGGUGAAAUGCGCAGAUAUCAGGAGGAACACCGGUGGCGAAGGCGGAUCUCUGGGCCGAUACUGACGCUGAGGAGCGAAAGCGUGGGGAGCGAACAGG
rnacentral:rRNA from 1 species